UUAAAGUUUGAUAUCAUAAGCAUUUACUGUUCCACAAACAUGAAUUUAUUUACUUCCAAUAUUAUGUUACACUAUUACUUAAAGUGUUAAAGACCAUUAGCCUAAUUGUUUAAGAGAACCAAAAUUGGGUGUACAACAAAUUUUUUGUACAUGUGUAUAUGUUUGAAUAUUAAUUAAAAACAGGUUAAAGAAAGAUUAGAAACCACUCUGCAGAGCAGAAUAAGGAGUCUCCCGAAGAUGAACAACACUAAGAGUGUCUGCUUUAAGAAUGCCAAGCUUCAAGAUCUUUUCUCUCCUGGGCUACACUGCCACAUAUACUCUGCCAAUAUCUGAACUCCGCUCCAUUCCAAUUGUCUGUCGUAAAACCUGUACUUACAGCAACAUGCUAACCUUGUGAAAUGAACUGCAAAGAGCAAGCUCCCACAAAUGGAAGGAAUAUGUAGCCUGUUAUGACCAUUAACACCAUCUGACAAUUCUGGACUUUACACAUCCAACCUCAAGACCAACACAUCCCCUGCAGUCCCUGCCUUUUUGGACACUUAAGAAAAGGUAUUGUCUUCACAGUUCAUCUCAUUUCCAGCUCUUCCCUCAAAUGUCUUCCAGAGGACCGUAACAUUUACUGUAAUCAAUAAUUUUAUGCAACAGUACAGAAACACACUUACUCAUACCAUGUACCAUUAGAUUCUUUAACAGUGGACCAUUUUGAAACUUGCAUCUAAUCUUGAACUCAUUUAAAGGCCUAAACCAUGCUUUGUAAGUGCCUGCAAAAUACUGUUUAACACUUUAUUGGGAUGUUGAGUAGUAUAAGAUUGUCCAGUGGUUACACUGUAAACUGACUGAUGCAUGACUGAAGGAGCAAUGCUACCCAUAAUGGUAUGAUUACUAUGUUAUCAGGUAAGCCUUUUUACAGUCCAAUUAAAGUCUGUCACAAUAUUAACUUUAAAAUAAUAGUUCAUUUCAGUAUGUAGUCAGAGCUAAAAUGUAUGGUUUGAAUGUUUAAUAGCUAAGAUUUGCAUUAUUUGAAUAUUUUUCCCUUCACAGACAGGUAAUGUAUGUACUGUAUAUGAUGACUAUAUAGAGCACUAUUGCUGAAAGCCAUUAAUUAACAUUUCUUUGAGAAAGAUCUUAAGCUUUGCCACCAGACCCAGUAUUUGUAUUUUCCACCACAUAUACUUAUUUUGAUUUUAAUUCUCCUUUGUAAAGCAACACAUUUGAUCUAUAUCAUUUUAUUUUCGUACUCUAUAUUUCUGCUUUGCAUGAUUUACUAACAUUUAAAAAGGUGCAAAAAUGAAAUAGUUGUACCCAUUAAAGCAUUUGUUUUAUUAUUACGUUUCAAAAGGUUUGAAGGAUGUAUUUUAAUGAGGGUUAUCAAGCCUUGUUUAAAAUGGUGUAUUUUAUAAUAAAAUGGUGACAAGGAAUUUUAUUGUAACACCUUAUGCUAUGUAAAUAAACAUGGAAAUGAUUUUUUUCUCUGAGGUUUAUUCAUUUUAAUUUUAACCAAUCAUCUUGGCUUUUAAAUCAAAUAAAAAUUGAUCAUUGAGAUUA